GGGGGUAUAGCUCAGUGGUUAGAGCACCCGCAUACGUAUCGGAAGGGUUGUCGGGGGUUCGACUCCCUCUGUCUCCA
rnacentral:tRNA from 1 species